ACUAAAAUGGCAGAUUAGUGCGUAGGAUUUAAGCUCCUUUAAGGGAAUAGUUUAUUCCUUUUAGUA
rnacentral:tRNA from 1 species